GACGUAGGAUGCAAGCGUUGUCCGGAUUUAUUGGGCGUAAAGAGUUCGUAGGUGGUUCGUUAAGUCUGAUGUUAAAGACUGGGGCUCAACCCUGGAAGUGCAUUGGAUACUGGCGGACUUGAGUGUGGUAGAGGCAAUCGGAAUUCCAGGUGUAGCGGUGAAAUGCGUAGAUAUCUGGAAGAACACCGGUGGCGAAGGCGGGUCUCUGGGCCGAUAUUGACGCUGAGGAGCGAAAGCGUGGGGAGCAAACAGG
rnacentral:rRNA from 1 species